GACGAACGCUGGCGGCGUGCCUAAUACAUGCAAGUCGAACGCAGUGGGGACGGGUGAGUAACCCGUGGGUAACCUCCCAUCAGAGGGAUAACACUUGGAAACAGGUGCUAAACCGAUACUGAUGGAUGAACCCGCGGUGCAUUAGCUAGUUGGUGAGGUACCGGCUCACCAAGACCACGAUGCAUAGCCGGCAUGAGAGGGGGACCAGCAACAAGGGAACUGAGAAACGGCCGAGAAUCCUACGGGAGGAAGCAGUAGGGAAUAUUGAGCAAUGGAAGAAAGUCUGACGGAGCAACGCCGCGUGAGUGAAGAAGGUUUUCGGAUCGUAAAGCUCGGUGGUGGGAGAAGCGGUAUCUAACCAGAAAGCCACGGCUAACUACGUGCCAGCAGCCGCGGUAAUUC
rnacentral:rRNA from 1 species